AUGAUUAAUUUCGUGCUCCUAAUCAGCCGCCAGGGUAAGGUGAGGCUCACCAAGUGGUACUCGCCUUACACCCAGAAGGAGAGGACUAAGGUCAUCCGUGAGCUUAGUGGGCUCAUUCUUACUCGAGGGCCAAAACUCUGCAACUUUGUCGAGUGGAGAGGUUACAAGGUUGUGUACAGAAGGUAUGCCAGCCUCUAUUUCUGCAUGUGUAUUGAUGCUGAUGACAAUGAGCUUGAAGUCCUUGAAAUUAUCCAUCAUUUUGUUGAGAUACUCGACCGCUAUUUCGGCAGUGUAUGCGAGCUGGAUUUGAUAUUCAAUUUCCACAAGGCUUACUACGUACUGGAUGAGAUUCUCAUUUCUGGUGAGCUUCAGGAGUCUAGCAAGAAGAAUGUUGCAAGACUUAUUGCUGCACAGGAUUCAUUGGUAGAGGCUGCUAAAGAGGAAGCUGGCUCCAUCAGUAACAUCAUCGCCCAGGCUACGAAGUAA
rnacentral:rRNA from 1 species